CGGUCCAGACUCCUACGGGAGGCAGCAGUGGGGAAUAUUGGACAAUGGGCGAAAGCCUGAUCCAGCCAUGCCGCGUGUGUGAAGAAGGUCUUCGGAUUGUAAAGCACUUUAAGUUGGGAGGAAGGGCAGUAACUUAAUACGUUGCUGUUUUGACGUUACCGACAGAAUAAGCACCGGCUAACUCUGUGCCAGCAGCCGCGGUAAUACAGAGGGUGCAAGCGUUAAUCGGAAUUACUGGGCGUAAAGCGCGCGUAGGUGGUUUGUUAAGUUGGAUGUGAAAGCCCCGGGCUCAACCUGGGAACUGCAUUCAAAACUGACAAGCUAGAGUAUGGUAGAAGGGUGGUGAAUUUUCCUGUGUAGCGGUGAAAUGGGUGAUUUAGGAAGAACACCAGUGGCCAAGGCACCACCUGGAACGAUACUGACCUGAGUGCAAACCUGGGGAAAAAACAGAUAAAUACCCUGGUAGUCACGCGUAAACAUGUCAACUACCGUGGGAGCUUGAGCUCUAUUGGCGCACUAACGCAUUAAGUGACCGCCUGGGAGUACCGCC
rnacentral:rRNA from 1 species